rnacentral:rRNA from 1 species
UGCGAAGGGUGCAAACGUUGCUCGGAAUUAUUGGGCGUAAAGCGCACGUAGGCGGCUUAGCAAGUCGGAAGUGAAAGCCCUCGGCUCAACCAAGGAAGUGCUUUCGAAACUGCUGAGCUUGAAUACUUAAGAGGAUCGCGGAAUUCCCGGUGUAGAGGUGAAAAUUCGUAGAUAUCGGGAGGAACACCAGUGGCGAAGGCGGCGAUCUGGGAAGAUAUUGACGCUGAGGUGCGAAAGCGUGGGGAGCAAACAGG